rnacentral:rRNA from 1 species
UACGUAGGGACCAAGCGUUGUUCGGAUUUACUGGGCGUAAAGGGUGCGUAGGCGGCAUGACAAGUCACUUGUGAAAUCUCCGGGCUUAACUCGGAACGGUCAAGUGAUACUGUCGCGCUAGAGUGCGGAAGGGGCAAUCAGAAUUCUUGGUGUAGCGGUGAAAUGCGUAGAUAUCAAGAGGAAUACCUGAGGUGAAGACGGGUUGCUAGGCCGACACUGACGUGAAGCGACGAAAGCCAGGGGAGCAAACGGG